UACGUAGGGCGCAAGCGUUAUCCGGAAUUAUUGGGCGUAAAGAGCUCGUAGGCGGUUUGUCGCGUCUGCCCGUGAAAGUCCGGGGCUCAACUCCGGAUCUGCGGUGGGGUACGGGCAGACUAGAGUGAUGUAGGGGAGACUGGAAUUCCUGGUGUAGCGGUAGAAAUGCGCAGAUAUCAGGAGGAACACCGAUGGCGAAGGCAGGUCUCUGGGGCAUUAACUGACGCUGAGGAGCGAAAGCAUGGGGAGCGAACAGG
rnacentral:rRNA from 1 species